rnacentral:rRNA from 1 species
UAAUUGGGGGAAAGGGUUGACGGAAGCCAAGCCGCGUGAGUGAAGAAGGAUUUCGGUUCGUAAAGCUCUGUUGUUAGGGAAGAAUGAUUGUGUAGUAACUAUACACAGUAGAGACGGUACCUAACCAGAAAGCCACGGCUAACUACGUGCCAGCAGCCGCGGUAAUACGUAGGUGGCAAGCGUUGUCCGGAAUUAUUGGGCGUAAAGCGCGCGCAGGUGGUUUAAUAAGUCUGAUGUGAAAGCCCACGGCUCAACCGUGGAGGGUCAUUGGAAACUGUUAAACUUGAGUGCAGGAGAGAAAAGUGGAAUUCCUAGUGUAGCGGUGAAAUGCGUAGAGAUUAGGAGGAACACCAGUGGCGAAGGCGGCUUUUUGGCCUGUAACUGACACUGAGGCGCGAAAGCGUGGGGAGCAAACAGGAUUAGAUACCCCGGUAGUCCAA